UGACAGUUCUCAGGUAGCCUCUGCUC
rnacentral:piRNA from 1 species